rnacentral:rRNA from 1 species
UACGUAGGGGGCAAGCGUUGUCCGGAUUUAUUGGGCGUAAAGAGCGUGUAGGCGGCCAGACAGGUCAGCUGUGAAAACUCGAGGCUCAACCUCGAGACGUCGGUUGAAACCGUCUGGCUAGAGUCCGGAAGAGGAGAGUGGAAUUCCCGGUGUAGCGGUGAAAUGCGCAGAUAUCGGGAAGAACACCCGUGGCGAAGGCGGUUCCCUGGGACGGUACUGACGCUGAGACGCGAAAGCGUGGGGAGCGAACAGG